UACGUAGGGUGCAAGCGUUGUCCGGAAUCAUUGGGCGUAAAGGGCGCGUAGGUGGCCCGGUCAGUCUUUGGUGAAAGCGCGGGGCUCAACCCUGCGUCGGCCAGGGAUACUGCCGCGGCUCGAGCACUGUAGAGGCAGGCGGAAUUCCGGGUGUAGCGGUGGAAUGCGUAGAGAUCCGGAAGAACACCGGUGGCGAAGGCGGCCUGCUGGGCAGUUUAGCUGACACUGAGGCGCGACAGCGUGGGGAGCAAACAGGG
rnacentral:rRNA from 1 species